AGACGCUUAGCGGCGGCGCUUCCAGAACGCUGCGCUCGGGAGAGCCUCGGGGCCGGAGUCGCGUGGGCGCUGGGGGCGGGGCGGGCGCCCACUGCCUGAGCCGGAUGGCAGAGCCGUCUCUCCGCCAGCUCCCAGCGCUGGCUCGCGUCCCUGGGUUCCGAGCCCAGCGACGCGCAAGCUCCGUGGCCGCCAGCGCCGGCCCUGCCCCCUCGCUGCUGACCUCCGCCGCUUCACGCCGCGGACUCAGCUCCCGGGCUUUGCGGUCGCUGCCGGUGGGAUGGGGAGGGCCGCGAACCUCUGUCCUCUCAGGCAUUCACCGCGUGGCUGGGAGGGCGCCAGGAGGCCGAGGCCGGGGCUGCCAUGCGCUCCCGGUGCCUCACCCCGCAGGUCGGUCCGCCUCGUGGGCUGUGGGGCAGACGACCGGGAAGCCCCGAGAUCUCCAGAUCCUCGAUCGGGACCGAAAAGGCCCUGAACUUGUGCAGUGACUUGCCAUUGAGUCCGGGAGGUUCUGGAGACCUGGGUGACGGAAGAACGCCCAAGGCCGACUGCUGCCCUCAGUUAUCGGGGCUCCACAUGGACCAAACCCAGCUGGCAGUCAGAGGGCAAGAGCAUCUCGAUGCAGCGCAUACAGGCCAAUUCCAGGGUGCAGUGCAGCAUGGAAAAGGAGAAAUGUACCUGAAGAGGCAAAUGAAAGAUAUACAGCGUCACAGGCAAUCUUGCUUCUACUACCAUAAAAAUAGUUUACGUUUCUUAGACACUUA